GACGAACGCUGGCGGCGUGCUUAACACAUGCAAGUCGAACGGAAAGGCCCUGCUUUUGUGGGGUGCUCGAGUGGCGAACGUGUGAGUAACACGUGAGUAACCUGCCCUUGACUUUGGGAUAACUUCAGGAAACUGUGGCUAAUACCGGAUAGGAGCUCCUGCUGCAUGGUGGGGGUUGGAAAGUUUCGGCGGUUGGGGAUGGACUCGCGGCUUAUCAGCUUGUUGGUGGGGUAGUGGCUUACCAAGGCUUUGACGGGUAGCCGGCCUGAGAGGGUGACCGGCCACAUUGGGACUGAGAUAAGGCCUAGACUACUACGGGAGGCAGCGGUGGGGAAUAGUGCACAAUGGGCGGAAGGCUGAUGCAGCAACGCCGCGUGGGGGAUGACGGCCUUCGGGUUGUAAACCGCUUUCGCCUGUGACGAAGCGUGAGUGACGGUAAUGGGUAAAGAAGCACCGGCUAACUACGUG
rnacentral:rRNA from 1 species